rnacentral:rRNA from 1 species
GAUGAACGCUGGCGGCGUGCCUAAUACAUGCAAGUCGAGCGAACGGACGAGAAGCUUGCUUCUCUGAUGUUAGCGGCGGACGGGUGAGUAACACGUGGAUAACCUACCUAUAAGACUGGGAUAACUUCGGGAAACCGGAGCUAAUACCGGAUAAUAUUUUGAACCGCAUGGUUCAAAAGUGAAAGACGGUCUUGCUGUCACUUAUAGAUGGAUCCGCGCUGCAUUAGCUAGUUGGUAAGGUAACGGCUUACCAAGGCAACGAUGCAUAGCCGACCUGAGAGGGUGAUCGGCCACACUGGAACUGAGACACGGUCCAGACUCCUACGGGAGGCAGCAGUAGGGAAUCUUCCGCAGUGGGCGAAAGCCUGACGGAGCAACGCCGCGUGAGUGGUGAAGGUCUUCGGAUCGUAAAACUCUGUUAUUAGGGAAGAACAUAUGUGUAAGUAACUGUGCACAUCUUGACGGUACCUAAUCAGAAAGCCACGGCUAACUACGC